UUGGGUGACUUGCACAGAAGGUGAGCCAGUGCAUGAGUAUUCUUACAGAUGGAGCUAAACCAUAGAAGCUGUGCUAACGUGAUUCUCCAAAGACCUUCUAACUCUUUUUCCAGCUCUUAUCACUUCCAGAGAGAGCAAGGGGACCUUAACUCGGUUUUAGUAUCAGGAUAUGAAGUGAGUAAGAAAAGUAGCAGUGUUCUGGGCUAUAUAUCACCUAUAUUCAGAGAGAUUAUCUAACAAGGAAGGACAUUUUCUGACCUCUGCUCUGCAAGUGAAAUACAUGUGCCAGAAAAAGCUGGGUCAGGUCUUCUGGAUCUACAUGGUGGUUUACUCCUUGACUGUAUUCUGAUGCCAGUUUCUACAACAUCUCUGUGGGUUUGGAUUAUAU